UGGCGUAAAAAGAAUCGAAAUCUGUUGAAUUAUGGUGAAGUCCGCUAAGUCUCGCCUCGACGAAGAAGAUGAACCUGAUGGUUACGACUCCUCUUCCUACAGAGGUGAAUUAGCGAAGGUAGAUGGUAGUAGCAGUGAUCAGAAGCUGAAUACGCACAGGUCCAAGCAUUCGGAGACAGAGCACCGUAGAAGGAGCAAGAUUAAUGAGAGGUU
rnacentral:misc_RNA from 1 species